CGGGAGUGUCAUGCUGUGCUGGUCCACCAGAGGUCGUCCUCGAGCCGCAACAUGCUCCUAAUACAGGUGUUCCUGAUCUACGGCUAAUUGUGGGUGCCUUGGAGGAGUACGUAGGAGCCAGCCACCAGUCCUUCGAUGCCUGAGUGUUUUGCUCAUGUGUACCUGUGAGGUGUGGGCAGAUUAUUGCUACCCUGACCUUGAUCAAACCUGGACUCCCUACUGACAGUUUGUGACUUUGGAUUUCCUGCAAUUUUGGAUGUUGACUUGGCUCCUAAACCUCCAAGGAUGUUGUCCCUGGGAGAACUCACACCUGGCGUGGAUAUCGUACUGCUGAAUCACCUCCUGGACUACCGGACUCCCAACCUCCUCAGAAGCCCUCCCUGGUUCAGUAACAACCUGAGACCAAAGAAUCCUAGAAGCCUGUGUUCCUACCUGUGGUUGCCUGACCAAGGAGCCCAUGAACUUAAAUCUGAGCUGUUCAAAUAAAUCUUUUCUCAACUUUA